AUUAAACGCUGGCGGCAUGCCUUACACAUGCAAGUCGAACGGCAGCACGGGGGCAACCCUGGUGGCGAGUGGCGGACGGGUGAGUAAAGCAUCGGAACGUAUCCUGGAGUGGGGGAUAACGUAGCGAAAGUUACGCUAAUACCGCAUAUUCUGUGAGCAGGAAAGCAGGGGAUCGCAAGACCUUGCGCUCUGGGAGCGGCCGAUGUCGGAUUAGCUAGUUGGUGGGGUAAAGGCCUACCAAGGCGACGAUCCGUAGCGGGUCUGAGAGGAUGAUCCGCCACACUGGGACUGAGACACGGCCCAGACUCCUACGGGAGGCAGCAGUGGGGAAUUUUGGACAAUGGGCGGAAGCCUGAUCCAGCCAUGCCGCGUGAGUGAAGAAGGCCUGGUGUAAG
rnacentral:rRNA from 1 species